CAUUGCUCACGAUUCUUAGAAGCAAGGGGACAAACAAUCUCUUUUGGUCACCUUCGGGUGGCCUCAUAAUACUUGCAAGGUUGAAUGGUUCCAAUGGGAAUUUGGAAUUUUUCAAUGUGGAUGAGCUUCGGACAGUUGCGAUAUCUAAACAUAUAGCAACAGCUCUUGAGUGGAACCCAACCGGGAGAUAUGUUGCUACUUCUACUCCAAGGACUUGUCAUGAGAAGCCGAGUUUUAACAUUUGGUCUUUUGAUGGCCACCUACUCUACCAAUUACCGAAGGAUCUCUUCACAAAGAUUGGUUUGACUCUUUCGUUCGAUUUUACUGGGAGAGGAGAGCUUGCAGAUCGGCAUGUCAAUUCCAUAUAUAUAUAUAU